rnacentral:rRNA from 1 species
CGGCGAGCGAAAAGAAAAUAGUUCAGCACUAAGUCACUUUGUCUUUAUGGCAAAUGUGAGAUGCAGUGUAUGGAAUGUCAAAUUUCUAGUAUGAGAAAUUAACGAUUUAAGUCCUUCUUAAAUGAGGCCAUUUACCCAAAGAGGGUGCCAGGCCCGUAUAACGUUAAUGAUUACUAGAUGGCAUUUCCAAAGAGUCGUGUUGCUUGAUAGUGCAGCACUAAGUGGGUGGUAAACUCCAUCUAAAACUAAAUAUAACCAUGAGACCGAUAGUAAACAAGUACCGUGAGGGAAAGUUGAAAAGAACUCUGAAUAGAGAGUUAAAUAGUACGUGAAACUGCUUAGAGGUUAAGCCCGAUGAACCUGAAUAUCCAUUAUGGAAAAUUCAUCAUUAUGAUUUUAAUAUUUAUAAUAUUAUAAUAAUGGUGUGCAUUUUUUCUAUAAAGGACAUUGUAAUCUAUUAACAUAAAUUAAUUUAUCAUAAGAUCAUUUGCGUAAGUUUAUUCAAAUUAUUUUGCUUGCAAUUUAAUAUCGAAUAAAUGCUUUUGAUUUGAUAAAGUGUUGAUAGAUUUAUUAUAUACAGUGCUUAAAUAUUUAUAUUUUAUAAUAGCAUAUUAAUCAAUGAUUUUUAUGUUCAUUAUAUGCACUUGUAUGAUU